CCUACGGGUGGCAGCAGUGAGGAAUAUUGGUCAAUGGCCGGAAGGCUGAACCAGCCAUGCCGCGUGAAGGUCAGUGCCCUAUGGGCGUUAAACUUCUUUUGUGCGGGAGCAAUAAUGGUCACUUGUUGCCAGCCGAGAGUACCUUCCGAAUAAGCCUCGGCUCACUCCGUGCCAGCAGGCGCGGUCAUACGGGGGAUGCAAGCGUUAUCCGGAUUUAUUGGGUUUAAAGGGUGCGUAGGCUGGGAGGUAAGUCAGCGGUGAAAUGCCCCCGCUCAACGGGGGGAAGUGCCAUGGAUACUGCCGGGCUGGAAUGCGGAUGCCGUGGGAGGAAUGCGUGGUGUAGCGGUGAAAUGCAUAGAUAUCACACAGAACACCGAUUGCGAAGGCAUCUCACGAAGCCGCGAUUGACGCUGAUGCACGAAAGCGUGGGUAUCAAACAGGAUUAGAUACCCUGGUAGUC
rnacentral:rRNA from 1 species